AGUUUGAUCCUGGCUCGAAUGAGCGCUGGCGGCAGGCCUAACACAUGCAAGUCGAACGGAGUUAUAUUGUAGCUUGCUAUGGUAUAACUUAGUGGCAGACGGGUGAGUAACGUAUAGGAAUCUACCUAGUAGUACGGAAUAAUUGUUGGAAACGGCAACUAAUACCGUAUACGCCCUACGGGGGAAAAAUUUAUUGCUAUUAGAUGAGCCUAUAUUAGAUUAGCUAGUUGGUGGAGUAAUAGCCUACCAAGGCAAUGAUCUAUAGCUGAUCUGAGAGGAUGAUCAGCCACACUGGAACUGAGAUACGGUCCAGACUCCUACGGGAGGCAGCAGUGGGGAAUAUUGGACAAUGGGCGAAAGCCUGAUCCAGCCAUGCCGCAUGAGUGAAGAAGGCCUUUGGGUUGUAAAGCUCUUUUAGUGAGGAAGAUAAUGACGGUACUCACAGAAGAAGUCCUGGCUAACUCCGUGCCAGCAGCCGCGGUAAUACGGAGAGGGCUAGCGUUAUUCGGAAUUAUUGGGCGUAAAGGGCGCGUAGGCGGAUUAGUAAGUUAAAAGUGAAAUCCCAAGGCUCAACCUUGGAAUUGCUUUUAAAACUGCUAAUCUAGAGAUUGAAAGAGGAUAGAGGAAUUCCUAGUGUAGAGGUGAAAUUCGUAAAUAUUAGGAGGAACACCAGUGGCGAAGGCGUCUAUCUGGUUCAAAUCUGACGCUGAGGCGCGAAGGCGUGGGGAGCAAACAGGAUUAGAUACCCUGGUAGUCCACGCUGUAAACGAUGAAUGUUAAAUAUGGGAAGUUUUACUUUCUGUAUUACAGCUAACGCGUUAAACAUUCCGCCUGGGGACUACGGUCGCAAGAUUAAAACUCCAAGGAAUUGACGGGGACCCGCACA
rnacentral:rRNA from 1 species